CCUACGGGUGGCAUCAGUGAGGAAUAUUGGUCAAUGGACGCAAGUCUGAACCAGCCAUGCCGCGUGCAGGAUGACGGCUCUAUGAGUUGUAAACUGCUUUUGUACGAGGGUAAACCCCGAUACGUGUAUCGGGUUGAAAGUAUCGUACGAAUAAGGAUCGGCUAACUCCGUGCCAGCAGCCGCGAUAAUACGGAGGAUCCGAGCGUUAUCCGGAUUUAUUGGGUUUAAAGGGUGCGUAGGCGGGCUUUUAAGUCAGCGGUAAAAAUUCGGGGCUCAACCCCGUCCGGCCGUUGAAACUGGGGGCCUUGAGUGGGCGAGAAGAAGGCGGAAUGCGUGGUGUAGCGGUGAAAUGCAUAGAUAUCACGCAGAACCCCGAUUGCGAAGGCAGCCUUCCGGCGCCCUACUGACGCUGAGGCACGAAAGUGCGGGGAUCGAACAGGAUUAGAUACCCCAGUAGUC
rnacentral:rRNA from 1 species